CAAAACUGUUGUGUGCCCAGCAACCUUCCAGCCAACACCCACGCCCAAGACAAGCAAGGAAGUGAAUGAUGCAUUGGCUUCCAUUUGUUUUCACUUUAGCAGCGAUUAGAGGUGCUUUUUUGCCUUUCAAAUACUAGAGUUCCAUUCCCAGGGUUACAUGAAGCAGAUCUCUUAGAAACAUUCUUUCUUUCCAGGUGUCCAAGCAAAGGUCCAGGUGGUGGAAACUGGAGGAGAUGUCAAAAGACCUGGAGAGUCCCUCCGCCUCUCUGGCCAAAUCUCUGGGUUCAACAUCAGCGGCAUCUGCAUGGAUUGGGUACGACAGGCUCCAGGGAAGGAACCGGAAUGGAUUGCAAGGGAUUGUGGUGGAAGCUCAAAAUCUUAUGCUGACUCAGUGAGAGGGCGCUUCACCAUCUCCAAGAAUGACCCUUCAAACAUGGUAUAUCUGCAAAUGAACAGCCUGAAACCUGAGGAUGCAGCUGUGUAUUACUGUCUGAAAGUAGACA